rnacentral:rRNA from 1 species
ACACGUAAGGGGCAAGCGUUGUUCGGAAUUAUUGGGCGUAAAGGGCGUGUAGGCGGUUUUGCAAGUCUGGUGUUAAAUCUCACAGCUUAACUGUGGAAGAGCGCUGGAAACUGCAGGACUAGAGUCUAGGAGGGGAAGCUGGAAUUCCAGGUGUAGGGGUGAAAUCUGUAGAUAUCUGGAAGAACACCGGUGGCGAAGGCGAGCUUCUGGCCAUAGACUGACGCUGAUGCGCGAAAGCGUGGGGAGCGAACAGGAUUAGAUACCCUGGUAGUCCACGCUGUAAACAAUGUGCACUAGGUGUUGGGCAGGAUUGUUCAGUGCCGUAGCAAACGCGAUAAGUGCACCGCCUGGGGAGUAUGCUCGCAAGGGUGAA